rnacentral:rRNA from 1 species
GUUAUAUGGUCAAGUGAAGAAGCGCAUACGGUGGAUGCUUGGCAGUCAGAGGCGAUGAAAGACGUGGUAGCCUGCGAUAAGCUUCGGGGAGUCGGCAAACAGACUUUGAUCCGGAGAUCUCUGAAUGGGGAAACCCACCUGGGAUAACCCAGGUAUCUUGUACUGAAUCCAUAGGUGCAAGAGGCGAACCAGGGGAACUGAAACAUCUAAGUACCCUGAGGAAAAGAAAUCAACCGAGAUUCCCUUAGUAGUGGCGAGCGAACGGGGACUAGCCCUU